rnacentral:rRNA from 1 species
GAUGAACGCUGGCGGCGUGCCUAAUACAUGCAAGUAGAACGCUGAAGCUUGGUGCUUGCACCGAGCGGAUGAGUUGCGAACGGGUGAGUAACGCGUAGGUAACCUGCCUCUUAGCGGGGGAUAACUAUUGGAAACGAUAGCUAAUACCGCAUAAAAGUCGAUAUCGCAUGAUAUUGAUUUGAAAGGUGCAAUUGCAUCACUAAGAGAUGGACCUGCGUUGUAUUAGCUAGUUGGUGAGGUAACGGCUCACCAAGGCAACGAUACAUAGCCGACCUGGUAGGGGGAUCGGCCACACUGGGACUGAGACACGGCCCAGACUCCUACGGGAGGCAGCAGUAGGGAAUCUUCGGCAAUGGGGGCAACCCUGACCGAGCAACGCCGCGUGAGUGAAGAAGGUUUUCGGAUCGUAAAGCUCUGUUGUAAGAGAAGAACGAGUGUGAGAGUGGAAAGUUCACACUGUGACGGUAACUUACCAGAAAGGGACGGCUAACUACGUG